GUUGACAUACUCACCAGUCCCAAAGGCAUAAAGAUAUCCUUAGUAUGCAACAAAGAAGCGUAUUGAAGAAGCUAAGAAAAGUACCAUUUGUAAGAGAAAAACACCAUUUCAGGUGUUAGGUGAGAAAGUAGUAUGCUGUGUUAGUGGGCCAGAAUGCAAUUCAGAAGAUGUGCAGAAAAGUCUCCAUCAAAGUACAAAAAUGUCAAAUGCAUUUAAUGCUUCAACGGAUGGAUCCAACGGAUAGUUUUCAAGAUCACAUAUAUGCAAAUCAAGCAGAUGAGAGAAGCAAGCAAGCAUUGAAAAAAAAAACGUACAAGAACACUCAACGCUUAACUCUACGAUCUGAGAAAAAGAGAAAGCUUGCUCAGCUACUCAGUUCUUUUGAACAAGUGCUUAACAGCAACUGAGUAGCAACAAUCAAGAACACAACAACUACCAAUCAACUGAAGAAAGAGUUCCAAGUUAGAAGGACUUGAAGAGUUCUAAGUGAACUGUGAAGAAGCAAAGUCUGCUGGACUUGAAGGGUUCAAGAGUGAACUAAAAAGUGCCUAGACUGCUGGUCUAGAAGGAAUCUGUGUGAUUCAGAAAGUGUAAAAGACAUCCUUAGUGGAUUUCCUACUCGAGGAGUAGAAGAGUGGACUAAGAGCUUUAAGACUAAGAGCUUUAAGUGCUCUGAACCACUUAAAACGACUGUGUCUAUUACAUUCUUGCUAUAACGGCUAUAUAUGCCAUAACUGCUAUAACUGCCUCACUCUCAUUAACUCACUAUCUUAAGGGAGAUUAAAACAAAUAUUAAUUCCGUUGUGUUUUAAUCAUUAUCAACUAACAAGUUAAAACGAAAAUAAUUUUUAAA
rnacentral:lncRNA from 1 species